GAUAAACGCUGGCGGCGUGCCUAAUACAUGCAAGUCGAGCGAACGGACGAGAAGCUUGCUUCUCUGAUGUUAGCGGCGGACGGGUGAGUAACACGUGGAUAACCUACCUAUAAGACUGGGAUAACUUCGGGAAACCGGAGCUAAUACCGGAUAAUAUUUUGAACCGCAUGGUUCAAAAGUGAAAGACGGUCUUGCUGCCACUUAUAGAUGGAUCCGCGCUGCAUUAGCUAGUUGGUAAGGUAACGGCUUACCAAGGCAACGAUGCAUAGCCGACCUGAGAGGGUGAUCGGCCACACUGGAACUGAGACACGGUCCAGACUCCUACGGGAGGCAGCAGUAGGGAAUCUUCCGCAAUGGGCGAAAGCCUGACGGAGCAACGCCGCGUGCGUGAUGAAGGUCUUCGGAUCGUAAAACUCUGUUAUUAGGGAAGAACAUAUGUGUAAGUAACUGUGCACAUCUUGGCGGUACCUAAUCAGAAAGCCACGGCUAACUACGUGCCAGCAGCCGCGGUAAUACGUAGGUGGCAAGCGUUAUCCGGAAUUAUUGGGCGUAAAGCGCGCGUAGGCGGUUUUUUAAGUCUGAUGUGAAAGCCCACGGCUCAACCGUGGAGGGUCAUUGGAAACUGGAAAACUUGAGUGCAGAAGAGGAAAGUGGAAUUCCAUGUGUAGCGGUGAAAUGCGCAGAGAUAUGGAGGAACACCAGUGGCGAAGGCGACUUUCUGGUCUGUAACUGACGCUGAUGUGCGAAAGCGUGGGGAUCAAACAGGAUUAGAUACCCUGGUAGUCCACGCCGUAAACGAUGAGUGCUAAGUGUUAGGGGGUUUCCGCCCCUUAGUGCUGCAGCUAACGCAUUAAGCACUCCGCCUGGGGAGUACGACCGCAAGGUUGAAACUCAAAGGAAUUGACGGGGACCCGCACAAGCGGUGGAGCAUGUGGUUUAAUUCGAAGCAACGCGAAGAACCUUACCAAAUCUUGACAUCCUUUGACAACUCUAGAGAUAGAGCCUUCCCCUUCGGGGGACAAAGUGACAGGUGGUGCAUGGUUGUCGUCAGCUCGUGUCGUGAGAUGUUGGGUUAAGUCCCGCAACGAGCGCAACCCUUAAGCUUAGUUGCCAUCAUUAAGUUGGGCACUCUAAGUUGACUGCCGGUGACAAACCGGAGGAAGGUGGGGAUGACGUCAAAUCAUCAUGCCCCUUAUGAUUUGGGCUACACACGUGCUACAAUGGACAAUACAAAGGGCAGCGAAACCGCGAGGUCAAGCAAAUCCCAUAAAGUUGUUCUCAGUUCGGAUUGUAGUCUGCAACUCGACUACAUGAAGCUGGAAUCGCUAGUAAUCGUAGAUCAGCAUGCUACGGUGAAUACGUUCCCGGGUCU
rnacentral:rRNA from 1 species